UCGGGCGGAUAGGAGGGGUCGGACGAGGCGAACAAGGGUUGGCAGCCUACCUUCGUCUUUCAAAGAAGGCUUGGGCGGAAGGACUAAGGGGCUUGGGACAGUGGCGAGGAUGUCCGGCAGUGUUCCGGCGGCAGCGGUGCUUCUUGUGGAUCACAAGCAAGCUCUUGGGUAGCACUGAAAACAGUGGCUGGCGGAUUUGGAAAAAAGGUGGUGUUUGAGCAGAGAGGAGAGUUCCUC
rnacentral:lncRNA from 1 species